rnacentral:rRNA from 1 species
UACGGAGGGUGCAAGCGUUAAUCGGAAUUACUGGGCGUAAAGCGCACGUAGGCGGUUCGUUAAGCCAGCUGUGAAAUCCCCGGGCUCAACCUGGGAAUUGCAGUUGGAACUGGCGGGCUAGAGUACAGUAGAGGGGUGUGGAAUUUCAGGUGUAGCGGUGAAAUGCGUAGAUAUCUGAAGGAACAUCAGUGGCGAAGGCGACACCCUGGACUGAUACUGACGCUGAGGUGCGAAAGCGUGGGGAGCAAACAGG